CACACUCAUACAUGACAUGACCAAUAUGUUAUGUGCUCGGAGCGGCAGUUUACAAACGCACCCUUAGUGCCUUCUGCUGUUAGGCCAAUGGCACUGAGCCCACCGUUUCAUUGAUUGGAGUAUUUGGGUUACAUUUUGUCAAUUUGUUGUAUUUUCCAGGAUCGUUGAGGACUCCUCCUCUAUGCGUGACAUCUUAGAUUAGAUUUAGAUUUAAUUUCAAGUGAUGAGUAAAAUAUCCAGAAAGAUACAUAAUCUGCUCUUUUUGCCCUCCAGUUUAGCACACUGAAUUCUUUGAGCCAUCUGUUGUCAAUCCGUCUGGGAAAAUGAUCAAUGAUAUAAAACAAACAAACAAAAAAAACAUUUUACAUGUAUACAGACAUGUAUCUUUUAGAUGUUUCAUACUCUAGGCCUAUUCAUCAUCAUAUUGUGUCGUGGUGGUGACGGUGUUAUCAUUUUUCAUUAUUUUCUUGUAAUAAUUAGGCCUAUAAAUGCAUAAUCAUGUUCAUGUUUUGUGCUGUCAUGCUUUGCAGAUGACUGAGAAUAUUACUGAAGGAUCCUACAUGGAAGCUGUCUGAUUACACUGAGUGAUUCCUCUGGUGUGGUGUACCUCAGAGAAAAUAAACACUGUUGCAAGAGCUCAGAAGAUAUCCUUAUUGCUGGAUGGUUGCUCUCUGGUCGUACUUGAGCCCCCUGGACCAUGUCUGCAAAUGCUUCUGAACAUUGACAGAAUUUCUAAAGGAUCGCUGAGGACUCCCCCUCCAUGCGUGACAUCUUUGAGAAAUUUCCACGCUUUCUGGAGAUGCCAAGUUUGACUGGAACCAACUUUGCAUCCCUCGGCACUGACACUGAGAAGGUUUCAAGGACCCCACUACUAGGAGGCGAGAGUUUGACACGGCAGUGUCAUCACUGCCAUGGAUGACAAUGUAACCAUUCCUGUUGCUGAUUGCCUGACUUGCGCAGUGACAAGCUUUUCAUGCUCUACUGGGUGUGUAACUUGGCAUAUCCACCACAGUUUAACUCUGUUUUUGCCUCUUUUGAAUAUGUGUACGAUAUAACCAUCUCAACCAAAAAGUGGGCCAAGGUACUGGAACAUUUCUCACUUCAAGUUGCUCUGUAGUCACUGGACAUUUUUUAAAACAUCUACGCAAACACCACCACUCCACACCAUGUGUAUUUUAAUUACUUCUGAUUCCACUGAC